GACGUAGGGUGCAAGCGUUUGUCCGGAUUUACUGGGCGUAAAGCGUGCGCAGGCGGUCUGUUAAGACCGAUGUGAAAUCCCCGGGCUUAACCUGGGAACUGCAUUGGUGACUGGCAGGCUUUGAGUGUGGCAGAGGGAGGUAGAAUUCCACGUGUAGCAGUGAAAUGCGUAGAGAUGUGGAGGAAUACCGAUGGCGAAGGCGCCUCCUGGGCCAACACUGACGCUCAUGCACGAAAGCGUGGGGAGCAAACAGG
rnacentral:rRNA from 1 species